GGCCCUGUGGCCUAAUGGAUAAGGCGUCGGUCUCCGGUCUCCUAAACCGAAGAUUCAAGGUUCGAGUCCUUGCUGGGUCG
rfam:Ancylostoma duodenale strain Zhejiang A_duodenale-1.0_Cont2744.3, whole genome shotgun sequence.